CUGAACUCUGGUGCACACUGGAUCCUUGUGGUUGUCAAAAUCUCCUCACAAUCUGUACUGCUGUUAGACCCUCUUGGAAAUGAAGGUUGUUAUGAAAGGAAAAUUAUGCGUGACUGGAGGAAUUUUCUGAAGAUGAAAGGAAAUGAAGAGUUCCGAGUGGAUUGGAAAAUGGAGAGACUGCCACACAACAAGCAGAUGGACUCCAGCAGUUGUGGAGUUUUAGUGUUGAAGGUAUUUAAUAAGCAAUUGUAUUUAAUUGU